rnacentral:sRNA from 1 species
UUGUUUAGAUUACCUGCCUGAAACGGCAAGGCUGGUGGUUAAUAUUGACCACCAGCCU